rnacentral:rRNA from 1 species
AACGAGACCUUAACCUGCUAUUUAGUCGCUCGGUCUCCGUCCGUGCGCACUUCAUAGAGGGACUCUGCGGCGUCAAGCUGCGGUGAGGUUUAAGGCAAUAACAGGUCUGUGAUGCCCUUAGAUGUCCUGGGCUGCACGCGCGCUACACUGAUGCUUGCCUCGUGUUUACCCUCGGCCGAUAGGCCCUGGUAACCCCUAGUCUGCAUCGUGUUUGGGAUUGAUCUUUGCAAUUCUAGAUCAUGAACGAGAAAUGCCUAGUAUGCGCAAGUCAUCAGCUUGUGCAGAUUACGUCCCUGCCCUUUGUACACA